rnacentral:rRNA from 1 species
GACGUAGGGCGCGAGCGUUGUCCGGAUUUAUUGGGCGUAAAGAGCUCGUAGGCGGCUUGUCGCGUCGACCGUGAAAACUCGCAGCUCAACUGCGAGCCUGCGGUCGAUACGGGCAGGCUAGAGUUCGGUAGGGGAGACUGGAAUUCCUGGUGUAGCGGUGAAAUGCGCAGAUAUCAGGAGGAACACCCGUAGCGAAGGCGGCACUCUGGGCCGGAACUGACGCUGAGGAGCGAAAGCGUGGGGAGCAAACAGG